CCCACAACCUUUGCAACCUCAAUGGCAUCACAGUUUCCUGUACAUGUACUUUCAAAGUUUUAAAUCUUGCCUAAUCUGUUGCAUUGACUAGCACCUCCAGACAAUAUUAAAUCAUUGGAGGAGAUGGGUGGACUGUGAGCAUCCCUCCACUCCAGCUCAGUUUAGUUUCUUCACUUUGACGGUUCUGCCGAAGACUCAGAAAACCAGCAUGUUUUACUCA
rnacentral:lncRNA from 1 species